CUGUGGAGCUCUGUUAUACACUCAGACACAUUACUGGGAGUAUUAUUGCUGUGGAGCUCUGUUAUACACUCAGACACACUAACAAUAUGGAGCUCUUAGAAUAUAGGGACAUUAGGAUAGAAAAGAGGGACAGAGGCGUUUGUGUCCAAAGUAGGGACUGUCCCUCCUAAAUAGGGACACUUGGGAGGUAUGCCGUUAGCAGUCACCACUCCU